rnacentral:rRNA from 1 species
GGGUUGUGAGGUUAAGCGACUAAGCGUACACGGUGGAUGCCCUGGCAGUCAGAGGCGAUGAAGGGCGUGCUAAUCUGCGAUAAGCGCCGGUAAGGUGAUAUGAACCGUUAUAACCGGCGAUACCCGAAUGGGGAAACCCAGUGUGAUUCGUCACACUAUCAUUAACUGAAUCCAUAGGUUAAUGAGGCGAACCGGGGGAACUGAAACAUCUAAGUACCCCGAGGAAAAGAAAUCAACCGAGAUUCCCCCAGUAGCGGCGAGCGAACGGGGAGGAGCCCAGAGCCUGAAUCAGCAUGUGUGUUAGUGGAAGCGUCUGGAAAGGCGCGCGAUACAGGGUGACAGCCCCGUACACAAAAGCGCAUGUGCUGUGAGCUCGAUGAGUAGGGCGGGACACGUGGUAUCCUGUCUGAAUAUGGGGGGACCAUCCUCCAAGGCUAAAUACUCCUGACUGACCGAUAGUGAACCAGUACCGUGAGGGAAAGGCGAAAAGAACCCCGGCGAGGGGAGUGAAAAAGAACCUGAAACCGUGUACGUACAAGCAGUGGGAGCACCCUUUGGGUGUGACUGCGUACCUUUUGUAUAAUGGGUCAGCGACUUAUAUUCUGUAGCAAGGUUAACCGAAUAGGGGAGCCGGAGGGAAACCGAGUCUUAACCGGGCGUUAAGUUGCAGGGUAUAGACCCGAAACCCGGUGAUCUAGCCAUGGGCAGGUUGAAGGUUGGGUAACACUAACUGGAGGACCGAACCGACUAAUGUUGAAAAAUUAGCGGAUGACCUGUGGCUGGGGGUGAAAGGCCAAUCAAACCGGGAGAUAGCUGGUUCUCCCCGAAAGCUAUUUAGGUAGCGCCUCGUGAAUUCAUCUCCGGGGGUAGAGCACUGUUUCGGCUAGGGGGCCAUCCCGGCUUACCAACCCGAUGCAAACUGCGAAUACCGGAGAAUGUUAUCACGGGAGACACACGGCGGGUGCUAACGUCCGUCGUGAAGAGGGAAACAACCCAGACCGCCAGCUAAGGUCCCAAAGUCAUGGUUAAGUGGGAAACGAUGUGGGAAGGCCCAGACAGCCAGGAUGUUGGCUUAGAAGCAGCCAUCAUUUAAAGAAAGCGUAAUAGCUCACUGGUCGAGUCGGCCUGCGCGGAAGAUGUAACGGGGCUAAACCAUGCACCGAAGCUGCGGCAGCGACACUGUGUGUUGUUGGGUAGGGGAGCGUUCUGUAAGCCUGCGAAGGUGGCCUGUGAGGGUUGCUGGAGGUAUCAGAAGUGCGAAUGCUGACAUAAGUAACGAUAAAGCGGGUGAAAAGCCCGCUCGCCGGAAGACCAAGGGUUCCUGUCCAACGUUAAUCGGGGCAGGGUGAGUCGACCCCUAAGGCGAGGCCGAAAGGCGUAGUCGAUGGGAAACGGGUUAAUAUUCCCGUACUUGGUGUUACUGCGAAGGGGGGACGGAGAAGGCUAUGUUGGCCGGGCGACGGUUGUCCCGGUUUAAGCGUGUAGGUGUGUGUUCCAGGUAAAUCCGGUUCACUUUAACACUGAGGCGUGACGACGAGGCACUACGGUGCUGAAGCAACAAAUGCCCUGCUUCCAGGAAAAGCCUCUAAGCAUCAGGUAACAUCAAAUCGUACCCCAAACCGACACAGGUGGUCAGGUAGAGAAUACCAAGGCGCUUGAGAGAACUCGGGUGAAGGAACUAGGCAAAAUGGUGCCGUAACUUCGGGAGAAGGCACGCUGACACGUAGGUGAAGUGAUUUACUCAUGGAGCUGAAGUCAGUCGAAGAUACCAGCUGGCUGCAACUGUUUAUUAAAAACACAGCACUGUGCAAACACGAAAGUGGACGUAUACGGUGUGACGCCUGCCCGGUGCCGGAAGGUUAAUUGAUGGGGUCAGCGCAAGCGAAGCUCCUGAUCGAAGCCCCGGUAAACGGCGGCCGUAACUAUAACGGUCCUAAGGUAGCGAAAUUCCUUGUCGGGUAAGUUCCGACCUGCACGAAUGGCGUAAUGAUGGCCAGGCUGUCUCCACCCGAGACUCAGUGAAAUUGAACUCGCUGUGAAGAUGCAGUGUACCCGCGGCAAGACGGAAAGACCCCGUGAACCUUUACUAUAGCUUGACACUGAACAUUGAGCCUUGAUGUGUAGGAUAGGUGGGAGGCUUUGAAGUGUGGACGCCAGUCUGCAUGGAGCCGACCUUGAAAUACCACCCUUUAAUGUUUGAUGUUCUAACGUGGACCCGUUACCCGGGUUGCGGACAGUGUCUGGUGGGUAGUUUGACUGGGGCGGUCUCCUCCUAAAGAGUAACGGAGGAGCACGAAGGUUGGCUAAUCCUGGUCGGACAUCAGGAGGUUAGUGCAAUGGCAUAAGCCAGCUUGACUGCGAGCGUGACGGCGCGAGCAGGUGCGAAAGCAGGUCAUAGUGAUCCGGUGGUUCUGAAUGGAAGGGCCAUCGCUCAACGGAUAAAAGGUACUCCGGGGAUAACAGGCUGAUACCGCCCAAGAGUUCAUAUCGACGGCGGUGUUUGGCACCUCGAUGUCGGCUCAUCACAUCCUGGGGCUGAAGUAGGUCCCAAGGGUAUGGCUGUUCGCCAUUUAAAGUGGUACGCGAGCUGGGUUUAGAACGUCGUGAGACAGUUCGGUCCCUAUCUGCCGUGGGCGCUGGAGAACUGAGGGGGGCUGCUCCUAGUACGAGAGGACCGGAGUGGACGCAUCACUGGUGUUCGGGUUGUCAUGCCAAUGGCACUGCCCGGUAGCUAAAUGCGGAAGAGAUAAGUGCUGAAAGCAUCUAAGCACGAAACUUGCCCCGA